UCUCAGAUGAAUUUAUCCUACAUUUACUGAGUUCAAUCUGAACAAAUUUGGUUUCAAGAACUUAUGUUUUUUAAAUCAACCAAUAGAUAAUGGAAGAUGUGGUAUGAGUGCCAAUGAGACAACUCUCAAUCCAAGUCACAACUUAUAAAAGUAAACCAUUAUAGGUCAAGGUAUGGUCUUCAACACGGAGCCUUGAUAAAUAUUACUGAACAGCACUGACCAAUUGCAAGAUAUCUGUUAUAUUGUUUUUGCAAAAAAUCAUUGUCAGUAAAAAGAGUCCUCAUUGGUCAUGUUAUUUAUAAUGCAUCUUAACAUCUCCUACACAAAUCACUUGAGCAUUUCCCAUCUUCAAUAGAGAUUAAAAUACCACUCAGAUCAAUCCAUUUAUAUGCAAAAUAAGCUAUUCACCUUCUUUACCUCAAUGUUUAUAAAACAACUCUACAACAGGUUCACCACUUCAUGUGUUUGUUCCUCAAAUUUAAUUUUAAUGUUUAUAAAAAUAAAAAUAAGGAGAUGUGGUACGAUUGCAAAUGAACCAAUUAUCCAGUAAGUUCAAAUGAAGUGAAUGUGAGCAAUAAAGGCAACCAUUCAGCCUUCAACAAAAUUUUCAUUUUCAUUACCGCUAAGUUAUAAGUGAAACAAAACCUAGAUACAUUUCAAUAAGUAAGUCCUAAAAGUUAGUUAACUUAGAACUAUUAAUUCAGACAUGAAUACACAAACAACUUUAAGUCACCAUACAGCUUCAACAAUGAGCAAAAUCCUUAAAAGUAUAGUAUUAAAUCGGUUAAGGAUCCAUUUAGGAAGAAAUGUAAAACCAUACAAAAGAAGAAUUGUCUAUGCUUAAACAAUGAACAAAAAUAAAAUCUGACAGAUCGUAACAAAAAAAUAUUGAUUUUUCAUGACAAUAAGGUUCUCCAUGAUCAUUGGCCUAAGCCCUGGUAAAGACAUGUAGUAAAAGACCUGUUACAUAACAAAUUUCUUAACCAUGUCAAUUGGCAUAAAAAAAUUGACAACCUUUCUGCAUCCUCUGUUUCGCCCUACAGUGUCACUACUAUCAAAUCUGUGCUAUGCACAGAUAUCAACUCCCAUCAUAGUGAUACUUUCAUAUGACUUAAACCUCCUAAGAAGAGAAUAACUGAAGUUAUCAAAGCUGAAACAAUUCAACCUUACAUAUAGGAAAUAGUUCAUAUAUAUCUUAUCAUUUUUUCCCCAA
rnacentral:lncRNA from 1 species